rnacentral:rRNA from 1 species
GAUCAUGGCUCAGAUUGAACGCUGGCGGAAUGCUUUACACAUGCAAGUCGAACGGUAGAGGGGGCAACCCUUGAGAGUGGCGAACGGGUGAGUAAUAUAUCGGAACGUGCCCAGUCGUGGGGGAUAACGUAGCGAAAGUUACGCUAAUACCGCAUACGAUCUAAGGAUGAAAGCGGGGGACCUGUAAGGGCCUCGCGCGAUUGGAGCGGCCGAUAUCAGAUUAGGUAGUUGGUGGGGUAAAGGCUCACCAAGCCAACGAUCUGUAGCUGGUCUGAGAGGACGACCAGCCACACUGGAACUGAGACACGGUCCAGACUCCUACGGGAGGCAGCAGUGGGGAAUUUUGGACAAUGGGCGCAAGCCUGAUCCAGCAAUGCCGCGUGCAGGAAGAAGGCCUUCGGGUUGUAAACUGCUUUUGUACGGAACGAAAAGGCUCUGGUUAAUACCUGGGGCUCAUGACGGUACCGUAAGAAUAAGCACCGGCUAACUACGUG